rnacentral:lncRNA from 1 species
AGAAUUUAUAACCUAUACAUCACUAGUAUAACUACACUUAAAUAGGAUAUUCAUUCUCAUGUUCAAUGUAUAGGAGUUACAAAGGUAAGAAUUAUAAAUGGACAUUCAUACACAUAAUUAUAAUAUUUAUAACAAAAUUUAAAUUGUUGGAUUAUGAUAUUUUAGAUGUUUAGUAUGAUGAAAAGCAUUGAAAAUUGUGAGCUGGGUUCUAUAAAAAUUGUCUAUCAAAACAAGUUCUAAAUUAAAAAUGUUACAAGUAUCCCAACAUUUAAAGCAGUGAAUAUGUUAAAUAACAAGUAAUCACGAAACUAAAGCAUUCGCAUGAGCUUGCAGUUUUAAUUUUCUUCUCUUUAACUCUAGAUCCUUCAAUCAUUGCACUUAGAAUAGUUACAGCUUCAUUAUCUACACAUACUUUUUGCAGUUUCAAUGCAGACCUACAUGGCAUACCAAAAUCGUUAUUGAAAAAAAAAAGAAAAUGAUGCUUUAACCCAUAUUAAACUGGUAAGCUCUUUGGUUAUCAUGAUUCAUGAUUAUAUACAUCCACUAAUAUUUGGUUUCUUGAAAUUGAAAAUGGUCGAGAAGCUUACCAAGGAAGCAGGAGGAGUCAUGUCUACAUUUGACUUCUCUUUUUGUAUUUUCAAACCCAAGCCCUCUCUCAGUAUAACAAUCAAACAAUCAAACAAAAGGAAGACAUCACUAAGAAUCACAACUCAUAUUAACACUCAAUUAUAUUACAACUCUUCCAAGAAAGGGUAUUUACCGUCAUCGGAUCCUCAUCUGGCAUCGCGACGGAUAAACUGUCUCCAUAUUCACCAGCAACCACGAGAAACUGUAUAACGAAUGAGCAUAUAAAAUGGAUUUUUCUUCAAAAUCAUAUCGCCUAUGAUAAAAACGAAAAUAUUCUUCAAAAUUUCAGGUUCAUCUUAAAAGAAUUGAAAUUUCAUAAUUAAAUUUGAGAGAGAAAAGUGGAAAUCAUGAAGCGGGAGGGGGGUUGUGUUCGAUAAAAGGUUAACAGAUUUGUAACCCAACCUAUGGUUUUUUUGGUUGACGAUUUUCAUACUGAUUAAUGGUUUGAUUUGGGUGACUUACCAAACUGAGUCAGUGGCCCAUUCAAUUUGUUUAUGCAAUCCAGCAUGGAGAUCGCCUAAGUGGUAUUGUCGGAUCCUUCACCGUCGUGCAUGCACUGUAAAAUCACCAUAGAACUAGUUCUGAAAAUCAACCCCAAACCCAUCCGGAGAUCGAAAUAAAAAAACCUCAAUUUGUAAUCAACUGUAAAAUGAUCAGAUUUAUGAUAAUCGAGUUAUAAUUAGAGAUUGGAAUAAGGGUACCUGCUAAAAUUUCUACAACGGAUGACCGUCCACCGCUAGAUACAGAGGAAUCGAGAGCCCACUUUUCUAUGGAUGAGAAGUAUCAUCCCGGUGCUCAAAACAGCGAGAUGCGAUGAGGUGCAAUGAGAUGAGAUUAGGAGAUUAGGGUGGAUCGAAGAUUUUAACUCUAGAAUGAGAUGCAAACAAUUCAACAAAACUUCUUCACUGAAAUGAAUCAUCCAAUUAUAAUGAGAGAGAUCC